rnacentral:rRNA from 1 species
AACGAACGCUGGCGGCAUGCCUAACACAUGCAAGUCGAACGAGACCUUCGGGUCUAGUGGCGCACGGGUGCGUAACGCGUGGGAACCUGCCCUUAGGUUCGGAAUAACUCCCCGAAAGGGGUGCUAAUACCGGAUAAUGUCUCCGGACCAAAGAUUUAUCGCCUUUGGAUGGGCCCGCGUUGGCUUAGCUAGUUGGUAGGGUAAAAGCCUACCAAGGCGACGAUCCAUAGCUGGUCUGAGAGGCUGAUCAGCCACACUGGGACUGAGACACGGCCCAGACUCCUACGGGAGGCGGCAGUGGGGAAUAUUGGACAAUGGGCGAAAGCCUGAUCCAGCAAUGCCGCGUGAGUGAUGAAGGCCUUAGGGUUGUAAAGCUCUUUUACCCGGGAUGAUAAUGACAGUACCGGGAGAAUAAGCACCGGCUAACUCCGUG